CAAUAGCAUAGGUUUUCUCAAGGGUGGCCGGCACACUCUCCCGGUAGGAGGGAGGUGAUGCCAUAUGACAGUGUACGAAUCAUUAAUGAUUGCGCUUGCGUUUGCAAGUCUCAUUGUGUCCGUUCUGUCGUUCCAUAAAAAAGACUAAAACCGCCCUUGAGAUUGGAGGCUCUGGGCGGUUUUAGCAAAUGCCUAUAAAGGUGCCGAUCCCCAAAAGGGAACCUGCUAUUGGAUGACCGUUUUGAUGUUCCCGCAUCGAAACGG
rfam:Bacillus badius strain MTCC 1458 Contig5, whole genome shotgun sequence.